rnacentral:lncRNA from 1 species
CUACCGCGCCCUCCAUCGAGUGCCAGAGGACUGCCCCCGUCUUCGGAAUGUGGACUGGGCCCGCCCCUGUUGCCUUUAAUGGUCGAGGUUAUAUAUGUGUUUCCGCAGAUCGUGGUCCAGUGAGGGUACCCAGCAAGAACGCGAAVCCUGUCUUGACUCACCAUGACUCGUCCAACGGGCAAGAGGAUGGGAAACCUGAUUCUGGGAGUACUGCUCCCAGUGGUAAUGGCACUUCACAGGAUUGAUCCCAGGCCAAAUAUGUGGGUAACCUGGGCGAACGAGACGGGCCAGCAAGCAUUCUGCUUGUCACUGGCCUCAGCUACCCGACCCUUUAGAACGUGUUUAGUAGGGGUCCCAAGCUUUAGCACAGCGGCUUUCUCGGGCUUUGCUACCGGCAAUUGUAAACAGAGUAUUUCAACUGCUACCUGCAGUGCUACGCUCAUCAAUAGCUUAAACACAACUCUGCCCUGGAACCCACAAGAAUUAGAUCUGCUCGGGGCAAUGCGUAUCGGAAACUYGUCMAARAACUGGACACAAACGUGUCUGGUCUUUGGGGGAGGCCCAGGCUUUGGGGGAAGUAGAGAGAGGCUUACAUCACGCAAUUGGACUAAUAUCAGCCCUAUGGACGAGCAUUAUCGCAACUUAAGCGCCUUUUGCGGCAUCGAUGGACCCACCAAAAAACCCCUAGGAGCUUAUGGGUCCGRGAACAGACCCUUCCAGGGCCCAUACAAUAUAGGGCCUCCCAGGGCAUUGCCACCUGGAGUAUUUCUUAUAUGUGGGGACCGAGCUUGGCAGGGCAUUCCUGGGAACGCGUAUGGGGGACCGUGCUAUCUGGGAAAAUUGACACUAUUGGCCCCGGAUACCAAUUGGUGGAAGAAUGUCACAAGUGGGAAGAUUGCUACCCGCYGCAAGAGAGCUGUUACUGGCUUAUCCCCCGACUGUGAUGACAGGGUGUCCCUGUUAAGUCCCACAGAGCGAGUGUUUCUGUCCCUUUUUGUACCCGGGGCAGCCGCCGGCGACGCCCUGAACCAGAUCGGGCGUUUAGCCUGCUGGGCGGAAAAACAAGCCAACGUCACCACRCARGUGAUUGAAAGCCUGCUAGAAGACCAAAAGGGCCUAAGGCAUGCCAUACUGCAAGACCGGGCUGCAAUUGACUUUCUAUUGCUAGCCCAAGGCCAUGGUUGUGAGGAUUUUGAAGGUAUGUGCUGUAUGAACUUGUCUGAUCAUAGUGAAUCCAUUCACAAACAAUUGCGGUGGUUGAAGGAGCACACAGGCAAAAUCCGUCAGAACCAUGGGUUUUUAGACGAAUGGCUMACUAACCUGUUUGGCAAUCUACCACAGUGGCUAAYAGGACUGCUCGCUGAAGGCUUGCGCAUUUUGCUAAUCCUCAUAAUUAUAGGCUUAUGCUUGUGUGUAVUACUGAGCUGCGUUAAGAAAGCCUUGCUGAAAGUAGCGGGCCRMGUCUGGAUUGCUCGAAAACAAGAAGGAGAACUUCUGGAGGAAUGGCUGGGCUUUGGGGGGGAAUAUAGUCUGUUGGAGAUGAGCAAGCCCGCCUAUGCCCUUAAGGGUUUCCCUAAACGACGAAGACACGGACAUCGCCUGCGUUAAGAAUCGGGAAAAGGGGAAGCAGCACACAGCUCUGCUCACGAGCUAAUAAUGCAAAUAACCACCCGACGGCGGUCCCGUCGAGACACACCGCA